rnacentral:rRNA from 1 species
UCGCACCUACCGAUUGAAUGACUCGGUGAAAAAUUGGGACUGCGAAUCUGUUUGCUUCAUUGCGAGUGGACUUGUGGGAACUUUUUUAAACCUCACCAUUUAGAGGAAGGUG